rnacentral:rRNA from 1 species
GACGAACGCUGGCGGCGUGCUUAACACAUGCAAGUCGAACGGAAAGGCCCUGCUUUUGUGGGGUGCUCGAGUGGCGAACGGGUGAGUAACACGUGAGUAACCUGCCCUUGACUGUGGGAUAACUUCAGGAAACUGGGGCUAAUACCGGAUAGGAGCUCCUGCUGCAUGGUGGGGGUUGGAAAGUUUCGGCGGUUGGGGAUGGACUCGCGGCUUAUCAGCUUGUUGGUGGGGUAGUGGCUUACCAAGGCUUUGACGGGUAGCCGGCCUGAGAGGGUGACCGGCGACAUUGGGACUGAGAUACGGACCAGACUCCUACGGGAGGCAGCAGUGGGGAAUAUUGCACAAUGGGCGGAAGCCUGAUGCAGCAACGCCGCGUGCGGGAUGACGGCCUUCGGGUUGUAAACCGCUUUCGACUGUGACGAAGCGUGAGUGACGGUAAUGGGUAAAGAAGCACCGGCUAACUACGUG